rfam:Ailuropoda melanoleuca scaffold1594_31, whole genome shotgun sequence.
AUCCAUCAACAUGUAACAAAUGCCUUUAACAUAAAGUUUGCAUUUCCCUUUAAGUAAAUAUGUUUCAUUUAAUUGUAGAAGAUUUUAAAAACAUAUAAAAUGAACAAAGAAGAAAAUAAAGACAAAUAAAUUAUAAAAUAAAAACCCAACCAUGCGAAAUGAGUUUCUGUGGAUGUUGUUUUUGUUUUUUUUAAAGAUUUUUAUUUAUUUAUUUGAGAGAGAGCACGAGCAAGGAGGAGAGGGAGAAGCAGACUCCCCACUGAGCAGGGAGCCUGAUGCGGGGCUCAAUCCCAGGACCCCUAGAUCAUGACCUGAGCGGAAGGCAGAUGCCCACCUGACUGAGCCACCCAGGCGCCCCCGUGGAUAUUUUCUUUUCUUCCAGCCUUUUCAAAUCGUCUCUCCUACCACGGGACCACAGGUGAUGGGGAAUCAGAGCUCCUUUCAGGAGAAGGAGUCUGACGCUAAUUUCGUCCAAGAAGGGCAAGCAAGUGCGCAAAUUGCCCCCUCCUCUCCAGGAGGUGGUAGUGAUGAAAAGUAGUGAUCCAAGACUCUUUCAAGGUCUUGUAACUUGCAUCCACGUUAAGUCUUUUAAUGAAGAGCUUUUGGAGGGCAAGCCUGGUGCCAGCAGCCACAGUAAUUCUGGCUCUAAUAGAGGAUAUUAAAGUUGCGGCAGUUAAAACGCUCACACCCAGCUCUCAGGAGCAGAUAGGCUGCUGUGCCAAGGCAGAGGGGAGCCGCUGCCCGCCCGCCCAGCUGCCUCUUGGCGCCCCCCUCAGUGCUCUUAGUGGAGUGUCCCGGGGGGCUCAAAGCAUUUACUUUGAAAAAGUUAGAGUGUUCGAAGCAGACCAGAGCCACCUGGAGAGCACAGCUAGAUAUAGUGGAAUUGAGCUAUAAUUCUCUUGUAUUGGCUUUUGGAACGGAGACCAUGAUUAAGAGCGAUGCCUGGGGAUAUUCGUAAUGCGCUGCUAGAGGUGAAAUUCUUGGACUGGCACAAGGGGAAAAAAAGAGUUUCUUAUUAAAAAAGAAUAAAGAGUUUCUCUUAAUAUAUGUAAAGGAUGCCUUCAUGGCCACAGGCAUUUUGGGGACAUCACGG